ACGUACACUCCUGCGGGAGGCAGCAGUGAGGAAUAUUGGACAAUGGGUGGAAGCCUGAUCCAGCCAUCCCGCGUGCAGGAAGACGGCCCUAUGGGUUGUAAACUGCUUUUAUCUGGGGAUAAACCUACUUACGUGUAAGUAGCUGAAGGUACCAGAAGAAUAAGCACCGGCUAACUCCGUGCCAGCAGCCGCGGUAAUACGGAGGGUGCAAGCGUUAUCCGGAUUUAUUGGGUUUAAAGGGUCCGUAGGCGGACUGAUAAGUCAGUGGUGAAAUCCGACAGCUUAACUGUCGAACUGCCAUUGAUACUGUUAGUCUUGAGUAAGGUUGAAGUGUCUGGAAUAAGUAGUGUAGCGGUGAAAUGCAUAGAUAUUACUUAGAACACCAAUUGCGAAGGCAGGUCACUAAGUCUUAACUGACGCUGAUGGACGAAAGCGUGGGGAGCGAACAGGAUUAGAAACCCUGGUAGUCCCAU
rnacentral:rRNA from 1 species